AAGUCGUAACAAGGUUUCCGUAGGUGAACCUGCGGAAGGAUCAUUAUGGUAGAGCGCGGCCGGCUUGCCGGUCGACGCGACACCCCCUGUGUACCCACCUGGUUGCUUCGGUGGGCCUGCCUGUUGGCCGCCGCCCUCGGGCGGCGUGCGCCCGCCGGAAGACCCCAAACCCUGGCUUUUGCGGUGACGUCCGAGCCAUAUAUCAAUCAGUUAAAACUUUCAACAACGGAUCUCUUGGUUCCG
rnacentral:misc_RNA from 1 species